GAUGAACGCUGGCGGCGUGCCUAAUACAUGCAAGUCGAGCGAACGGACGAGAAGCUUGCUUCUCUGAUGUUAGCGGCGGACGGGUGAGUAACACGUGGAUAACCUACCUAUAAGACUGGGAUAACUUCGGGAAACCGGAGCUAAUACCGGAUAAUAUUUUGAACCGCAUGGUUCAAAAGUGAAAGACGGUCUUGCUGUCACGUAUAGAUGCAUCCGCGCUGCAUUAGCUAGUUGGUAAGGUAACGGCUUACCAAGGCAACGAUGCAUAGCCGACCUGAGAGGGUGAUCGGCCACACUGGAACUGAGCCACGGUCCAGACUCCUACGGGAGGCAGCAGUCGGGAAUCUUCCGCAAUGGGCGAAAGCCUGACGGAGCAACGCCGCGUGAGUGAUGAAGGUCUUCGGAUCGUAAAACUCUGUUAUUAGGGAAGAACAUAUGUGUAAGUAACUGUGCACAUCUUGACGGUACCUAAUCAGAAAGCCACGGCUAACUACGUG
rnacentral:rRNA from 1 species